rnacentral:rRNA from 1 species
UAAACAUUGGGCGCUAGAUGUAGGGACCUUUCCCGGUUUCUGUGUCGUAGCUAACGCAUUAAGCGCCCCGCCUGGGGAGGUAACGGCCGCAAGGCUAAAACUCAAAAGGAUUGACGGGGGCCCCGCACCAAGCGGCGGAGCAUGCGGAUUAAUUCGAUGCAACGCGAAGAACCUUACCAAGGCUUGACAUACACCGGAAACGGCCAGAGAUGGUCGCCCCCUUGUGGUCGGUGUACAGGUGGUGCAUGGUUGUCGUCAGCUCGUGUCGUGAGAUGUUGGGUUAAGUCCCGCAACGAGCGCAACCCUCGUUCUAUGUUGCCAGCGCGUUAUGGCGGGGACUCAUAGGAGACUGCCGGGGUCAACUCGGAGGAAGGUGGGGAUGACGUCAAAUCAUCAUGCCCCUUAUGUCUUGGGCUUCACGCAUGCUACAAUGGCCGGUACAAAGGGCUGCGAUACCGUAAGGUGGAGCGAAUCCCAAAAAGCCGGUCUCAGUUCGGAUUGAGGUCUGCAACUCGACCUCAUGAAGUCGGAGUCGCUAGUAAUCGCAGAUCAGCAACGCUGCGGUGAAUACGUUCCCGGGCCUUGUACACACCGCCCGUCAAGUCAUGAAAGUCGGUAACACCCGAAGCCGGUGGCCUAACCCUUGUGGAAGGAGCCGUCGAAGGUGGGAUACGGUGAUUAGGACUAAGUCGAACAAGGA